rnacentral:lncRNA from 1 species
UCUCUCCCAUUGCUUGUUGGGGCAGUAAACCCUUUUUCUAAAGUACUGUUUGUUAGCCUCGGAUAAACCCCAUUCUUAAAAGGAUACAUAAAGAUCCCGAUCGAUCCUACUUAUGGUUAUCUACGGUCUCAUCGAUCCUACUUAUGGUUAUCUACGGUCUCAGUGAGCAACGAGCUUCUUCAAUAGCUAGCCUAGCCUCUUACUCCUUUCUAUCAUACAGACAGAGCUAAUUCUACUGUUCUGUUUCCGGACUUCCCGCUUCUGAGAAAAGUGCUAUUCCCGCUUCCAAGCUAGUGGAUUCUUUCCCUCUAAUGAGUUCAGAUCCAUUGCAAACUCCUAAAUUGAACUACACUUUCUCCUUGACCGAUUAAAACAUCCCGAUCAGUCAAAUCAGUCAUAGCGAAGGUACGAUGUAGCGCAUAUAGUAAUGGAAAGCGAUCAGUAACUCUCUUUCUCUCCUUUAAUGGAAUCAGUAGAGUAAGCUAUAAGUAAAGAAGUAAAGGAUCGGAUCGGGUAAAAUAAUCUUCUAAAGAAGCAGUGCCCAUUGAAGAAACAUAAUCCUCAGUGCUCUGAACCAACCUAGUAACCAAUGCUAUCAAAAACCCAGGAAUCACUCUUUCGAACGGGGGCGGUAAGUUCACCAUAUUCUUUAUUAACUAUAGGAGUGGCGGUAAGUUCACCAUAUUCUUUAAUUCCACAGUAUUCCUCAAGUAAUUGGGGCGCGGCAGGAACCACAUCUUAGUACUUAUAGCUUCUAUGACCCAUUAUCUGCAUUUAGUAUAAUAAACUACAGCAACAUGGUUAUGACCCACGAACACAGUUUAAACGCCUGCCGCACUUUUAGCUCGCUGACGCUCUUUUAGCUCGCUACCGCUUUUCACUCGCUACCGCUACACAUUAUCCGUUACUUGGCCGGGAAAGCCUUGAACUCCUCCUGGAAACUCAGAAAGUGGUUGGUUGCUCAUCUACCUCCCCUCUGAACUCUGUCAACUAGCUAAUCUCACUCAGGUAUGCCUGGCAGCUAGCUAAUCUCACUCUGUCAACCCGGACUGCCACUCGGCCAAUGACUUAAGAGCUGUAGGCCAGUUUCAUCUGUGAAUUGACACUCCUGACGCCAUGCUUCAUAUCCUGCUCCUUCUGAUGAUGAUGUAUCUUCUCUUGUUCCUGUAGUUUUAUACCUUCCCUUCCUACGUAGCUUAUCUCUGUUACUACUUUGUUCCAUUCUUCAUAUUCUACUAACAGGUCUUCCACUCUAACUCUGACCCACCUCUCCUUCUGCCCUAUUAUUAAGUACACUGCUGACUAUAAGUACUGAAGUAAUGAAUUGCUAUCAAAAAAGCCGGGAAAACGCCAACUUUGGAUUUCCAUGAUGCCUUCCAGGAGGCAAAACUCCUUGGCUACCUUUUUUCUCGGGAAAACGUGAAAUUGUAAUCUCAAUCGAACCCUUUAGGAGGGAAAAUGACUUGGCUACCGACAAGCAGCGGCACACGACGCUGCGCGUCAGCAACAACAUAGAUGUGUUAUAAGCAGUUAUGACCAAGUCCUGUGUUCGUAACCGAGAAAACGCCAAAUGAUCAUUAGAAAUUGGACAUCUAUUAGCGGGCCAAGGAACUACUAAUGUUCCGCGGCAGGAGCUCCCCUUCGCUAUCAAAAAACACGGGCCAAGUAACUACUAAUGUUACGCGGCAGGAGUUCCCGGAAAAGUAGAAUGAAAAUAAGGUUCUCUAUUAGCCAAAUUGUCUUCACUGCCAACAGCUCCUGCCGCUACACUUACGUAGUUACUUGGUGCAUCUAGUAGAGGAGACUUACUUGUUGCAUUCUGAGUUUGAGGGGUAGUAGUUGUGCUCGUGCAGUCUAGUAGUCCAGGUAGUAGUAGUCCCGUGUAAGGGAGUUGACAGUUCCAGUUCUCAAGUCAGUAUUUGAAGAUAAAUUGACUGAGUAGCUAAGGUUUCUAAUAGUGAUUUGCCUUACUGAGUUGCCUUAGAUGCAGAAUAUGGGUCAUACACGGAUUCCAUUAAAGGAGAGAAAGAGAGUUACUGAUUCCAUUAAACCCCUAGGGCUAAGGAUUAUGUUUCCCCGGCAUCAAUCCCUCGCUGAGCUAGAGCACCAACCAAACCCUAACUACUUUCUCAUAAUUACACUACAGGCCGAAGAAAAGAAGGCAGAAUCCUUAUCUUAAUCAGUAUCAUCAGCAGAAUUGCCAGCCCUAUAGUAAGUUGUAAAAGGAGGAAUUACAGAAUAGAGUGGACAUUUUAUAGAAUAGUCAAGAAUUCUUUCCCUCGCCUCUUGCUCACGUUAGCGCAACAGCAACAGUCACUCUUUUAGCCGAUGAAGACAGGUAUUCCCAGUAGCGGGGGCAAACCAGACGAGCAUACAGAUACUAAUACUAGUGUCACUCUUUUUCUACUCCUAUGUUAUGUUUUCAAUUCAAUGAGUUUCUAGUUGUGUUUAUGUUUUCUGGCGUAACUAGUUAAGGGAAAAGAGGCCUUCACUGGAAUUGAUCCAGCUCCUUCUGUAUCGCUACUGGGUCUAUCUUCUUUAAGAUCGCUACUGGGUCUAUCUUCUUUAAGAAUAAAUGCACCAUAAGAGCUUGUCGGGGGGCAACAUCGGGAAUUGACUAUUUGCGGAGUAACAGAUAGGUUCAACGACCAGAACUAGAGGUUUGGAUACCAGAAAUAAGGAAAUGUCGAUGAAGCUUCUUCUUAAUAUGAUGAAACUCGAACUGGGCGAACAGAACGAAACCUGUCUUCGGCUUAGUGGCCCACUACUGAGUUAAUGCUCUAAAGUGAGCGGAAUGACAGAGUCUCCUUGUUAGCUUGUUCUGUGCGUGCCUAAAUGCCUUAUCAAGCGCCUUGCACUGAAGUCUCAUAUUAACAAGGAAGCAAGACUUAGUGCUAACGCUUAUAUGUCUUGUGGUGCGAGUGUUUUAGCAUAUUCGAACUGUGAUUAUCAUUGGCGGUAGUGAAAGAAAUAAUCUCGUAUCUAGAGGAGAAGCCCUAAGUAAAGUAAAGAAGAAUAAAGUAAUCAAACACAGAGGAGAGUGCGCACGCACCUUAGGUAAUUAUGUAACCCGACUGCCACUUAACUGACUACUUGACUUCGAGCAGAAAGAAUCUCAUCUGACAUAUAGUAUAAGUGCUAUACCUAACACAGCAGCUUACUCCAAUAACUACAGCUUAGUCCAAUAAACUACACUGCAAUAACUUAAAUAACGUCUUUCGCCUAUAAAGAAAGAUAGCCCAGAGAGUAAGGAAGCAAAGCAAUUAGUUGACUCUAUUCUAUAAACAAUGAAUGCUCAAUUCUCUGAUUUUGCCGACAUUCGGAGUGCGGGGUGCGAAAGGAAAGAACAAGCAACGUCGCCAGAGGUUGUGCUAACAUGAGAAAGCCCCUCCCUUGUUAACGGAGUUUUGAAGUCAAAGGGGAAGCUGGGUGUUUACUGAAUUCUAUACCUAUGUGUGUGCUUGAAAUUCCAUUUAUGGUUGCUCAAGCAAAGCAGUAAAGUAUCUCUGGUUUCGAUUCCAUUCUGAAAGUGUACGCGAGUAGAGUCAAGUAACUGCAAGGGAGCAAGAAGCAACUCGGUCGGGGACAAACGUAUCGUAUCGCAAAAGAACUCAACUAAUUAAAGGCUUUCUCAACAAGCAAUGGAGAUGAAGCAAGCAAACAGGAAGCAAGGCAACAAUUGAAUACUUCAAGUCAGAGGCAGAGUUUCGUUUACCAAAUACUUAUAAGACAGAGGCCGAGGCAAGCAACACACCUACUCAUAUAGCACAGAGGCAGAGUUGAGUUCACCAAAUACACUAUACAUUAGGGAUCGAGCAGAGUUUCGUUCAGCUGUCGUAUUCAAGGAGCACCACUUUGAGCACUACUUUGAGCAUACCCAGCUAGCAAACUACAGCUUCAAAGCAAACUAUAGCGAAAAAGAAGAAAGAGCAACCCGAGCGCCUAUAUUCUAUUCAAUAGGUAAAGCUCUAUAUUUAUUCAACAGGAAAGGGUGCUUCUUUACUUUUGGAUAGUGCUACAUCCGCCUAUGUCUAAAGGAAGGGUGCGUGCCUCUUGACUUUUGGAGUGCAAUGUCUGCCUAUGUCCUAAUGUGUAUAGGAGCACUUCAUUCCUUUUUUACUUGACUCUUACACUCCCAUCUUUCUUUCUUUCUCGUUGACUAGAUACCGCACAGUUUAUGGUCUUGUUCUUGAUUCAUCUCUGUCUUUUUAUUCUGCUUGAGAUCUGGUUUAUGAUUCCGAUCCUGCUUAGAAUCCAUUUCUAAUUAACCUAGCAGUAAAGACAGUUGGGCCGAGUAAACCAGUCAAAUAAAAACAAGUAAAGGAUCUUAACGCGGAAGCCAUAUAAAAAGAAGUUAGUCAUUCAGAUCGGAUUGUAUGCGGGAAAAGAUUGGAGCUAAGAGCCUCUUUGAAGUUUAUAUAAAUUAUGAAAGCAAGAGCGAAAGCAACAAAGGAUAAAAGAUGUCUUUGGCGAAAGUCUAUAAUUAGUAAGCUUUGGAAGGUAGGUUAGGUUAAUUAUUUCUAUACUUUUGUGCUGCGCUCAAUUCUCUGUAUGGCUGAUGUGUUUAAAUAAACAGCUUGUUCUUACCUUGGGCUUUGCCCCGAACUCCCCUUGAAGAAGCACCCCCUCCCCUUGAAGAAGCACCCUUUGAUACAACACUCGCUCGAACUACAGAUUCUGUUGAUAUAGUACCUGAGCCAGCAUCUUCUCUUACCGCAACACUUUGACCAGUACUUUCUGAUUUUCCUUCACUUGACUUUCGAACACCAUUUCCUAGCACAGAUCCGGACUCGUAACUUGCAGAAUUGACAACACUCGCACAACACUUGAAACCUUAUUCCAUGAAAAGCGAGUCUCACGACCUAGCCUAAGAAUGCACAAAUUCCAGAAGUAGCUAGCUAGUAGCCGCAUUGAAGCAGCAGCCUUUACGCAGAUAGAGCUUGAAGCCAAGGAAACCAACCCUCUUUUAAAGAAAGAUGAGAGGGGGAGAACUAAACAAUAGGAAGGGUCUGUCUUUAGUGAGCUUUCUUACACAAUAUCUCUCUCUUUGUGGACUAAUCCUUUGGAAUGUAUAGCACCUAACCUAAGAACUUAUUGAAAUUGCUAAUACCCGCGCAAUAGAGCAAUCAAUACUCUUAUAAAGACCGACUAGCAUUAGUAUGGAGGAAGCCUUAACCUUUCUAGCUGCUCCCCGCUGCCCCCUUUCUUUUGACCCUACUAAAACCUAAUAGGUUGAGCCACCCUUAGCGCACUUUGCUUAGGUCGUAAUACUCUUCUCUCCCCUUGGUUAGGAUCUUUUGUAGUUUACUAGACAUAAAGAUAGAUGGUUUACUAGACAUAAAGAUGGUUUACUAGACAUAAAAGUGUUAGGAUGGAUGGUUUUGAAGCUUCUUAUAUGGAGGAUUUUAGGGGUAAUAAAGCAACUUCCUUUCUGUGACAAGGCAUUCCAGAGCAUCAAGCAAUACUGAACAAAAGCACCAACCAGUCCUAGCCUAUACCGACCCACCAACGAGGUCUAGUUUUUUUAUUAUACCCACGUGCCAUGGAUCAUUCAUUCACUUGGGCUAGCCAAUAAGUAUGACGAAAGAAGGCAAAGACAAAGAGCAAACUCUUACAUAAGUAGAAUUAUGCUUGCCACUAUACAUCGGUAUAACUAGUCCUUUCUUUCUUUUGGAAUGCUCUCAUGUUUGCAGCACGGAAGAUGGCACCUAAUUGCCAAUCCCCUUUACCUGGUUGUCAUGAGUAAACCUUUGAAAGAUCCUUGUGACCAAGUUCACUGAACGACCGACUCGGGUCGAUACUGCUCUUUCGGGUCAGCUCUUUUAGUAAGUAGAAUAGAAUAUUCGUAUGUUGAACAAAAGGCCGUGAAAGGCCUGUAUAUUUGUAUUUCACUGGCAUCUUUCUUGAAGCACAUCCUCUGACUGCCUUAUUAUCCCUUCCCUUCAUUUCUAUUGGUAUUGGCUAUGGAAGAUGAGUUCUGCUUUGGCAUGAAGACUCGAGCCAAGGGGGGCGCCUCAAAAAGAUAUGAGAAAGGACGUCCGGGCAAUUUCUUAGUUCGUCUCUCUUACUCCCGAAGGAAAGAUGAUCCCGCAUUCCUUCACUUUCUUUGUCGGAGUCAUCUUACAACAAGGUGAAGCUUUCAACUUAUACGCAGUAGCUAAGCGCGUUGAAGCAAUUGGCCGGCCUUAUGCAAAAGACAUGGACACUCUCUUUUCUGGAUUCUCUCUCUUCCUCUUAUCUAACAAUUCUUUCACUAAAUUAUGAAACUAGGCGCUUAUUUGAUUAUUCAGAGGUUGGUUUCUUUCAGAGUUAAAGAAGAAGGAAGCUUGGGAGAAUAGGUUCCCACGGAUCGGUAAAAAGUAUGCAUCCUGAAAUCUUUAAUGAGAGGGUGAAGCCCAUUCAAAGCUCUGUGCUAGCACUCGACUUCGGUACUAGGCCUCUUACUAGAUAGAUCUUCGGAAUCUGAUGACCAGAUGCUCGGAAGUGAAAAGAGGGAGAAGAGAAAGUACUGAUUAGCAGCCCGGACUAAUGCCUUACCCCAAGCUCACAAGGUUUUUUGUUUAGAAUAGAACACUCUAAAAGAAUGAAGUUCAAAAAGGCUUCGCUCCAGGAGCCCGGUACGAUAGAUUUAGGCGGAUGGGUGUUUGUGGUGUGGGAGUAUAGAAAAUGGUAUAAAGUUGUGUUGAUUGGAGGAAUAAGAGAAAGGUGGGCAAUGCCAUUCUUCGGUAGGUGCCGAGGAAAUAAUGUUUCUGUUCCGGUUCAAAAGAAGGGUAUGUUGUAUCUUUACUUAGAUCUAGUAGUAGGAAUAUCUUAUAGGGUGCUCAAACUCUAGUCGUUGCUUGGCCCUUUGCUUGACCCGCAAUUAGGAAGCCUGUCUAUUAGCAGAUCAGAGUAGCUUAGUGAAAGUAGCCCAGGGGAAUAAUCCGGUGGCAAUGUCGGGUGCUUCUUAUUCUAUAUUGAAUGGCGAGUUCUUCUUUCGGGUGUCCUUGACCGGAGAAUUUCUAUGAACAAAAGAAAGAAAAGGGCUUAGCGACCUUGACCUUAGACGAGCGCAACGAAGGAUCUGAUCCAGACAUAUUGAUCUCCAUUUUGUGCACUAUGGGACGGAUCUCAAGGCCUAGUCGGUAAUCUCUUUCAGAGACCUUGGUAUUAUAGCAGAAUUGCCCUCUGGGUCCGUUAGCGUUAGGAGUGGGCAGGGUAGUCCAGAGUACAGAGCCAUAACAGGAUUAGUUGACAGAGCCGAGGUCGGCAGACAAUAAGAAUCGCAUGGGAUAAAUCAAUUUGGAAGACAAGAAAAGCUGGGUGAGCUAGGUCGUAGAGAUCAGAGGCAGAGAAGAAUCAAUGGAAGCAGUUAAGUAAGAAGGAGAGGAAGCUGGGGAAUUGACUAAGGAGUAACAGUAGAGGUCGACCAAGCACUGCCAAUCAGAAUGUCCCUAAAGAGAGUCAAAGCCUACAACCACUGCUAACGAGUCUAUCCGACCCGAGUCUAAGAAUCAAACUAGUGAAACUCAGCCUUAAACUCUAACCUAGGAAUACGGAAUUACAGAAUGAGUUUACAUAGCGGAGGGAUAUCCUGAGUGAGAUUAGAUGGAGUGGGGAUCUUUCUUACUAACUACUUACAACGUUGCUUGUCGGCCGAACACAGGCAUUGAAGUCACCAGUUACCUUAUUCUAUGAAACCAGUUACCUUAUUCUAUUUAUUGUAUAUGAAUAGUUACUUCACACUGUAUUAGUACUAAGAGAAGUGAGUAUUAGUAGAUUCAUUGGGUACAAUCUAGCGCAUCUAGUAGAAGACACAGAAUUUCACUCCCCGGACUAACGCUUUGAACUCGCUACCGCUACACAUUUCAUUAGUAGUUUCUUCUGCCCUUCCCUGGCUAGUAUAGUCGUUUCUUCUUCCCCGAACUCAACUUCUAUUUGAACAACUCCCUUUCCUUUGCAAUGGAAUCUCCAUCUAAUUACCUAUGAGCUUCUCUUUUGAAAACCUCAACUCUCACUGCUCCUGACGCAGACGCUGAUGCGCUAAUAGGAAUUGUGGAAUCGAAUCCACCCUAUCUCUAUAUCUAUCUCUUAUUACCAAUUAUUUCUAUAUCAUAACCCUUAUCUUUUACUUGCGCUUACGGAGCUCAUCACCUUGUUCUUUGGCUUCUAAACUAACUUAUUGCUUUCCCUAACCAUAACAACCUUAGGCUAGAUCGAAAGCAACAAACAAUGGAACAACCUUUAUUGCAUUUGAGUCCAGAAAGCUUCAAGUAAGGGCAGAGGUUCUCAUGCCAAGAAAGAAAGAAAGAUUAUUUGAUUAAAGGCAACGGACGGAGUUUGUUUACGUUCCUAUAUAUCUCUAUUUGUGUAAUGCUAAUGCUAUAGAAUAUGAAAAUGAUAUACUUCACUACACCGAACAAGCAAAGCAGAAAAGCUACAAUAAUACUGAUAAAUAAACUACACUGAGAAGAUACCGCGUAGUGAACAGACGUCAAGCCAAUCACUGAUCUCGCUGCUGCACUUAUAAGAAAUACUUCCGGACUUUGAAUCUACUUUACUUAUAUUCUGACUUGAGAGUUUAUGACUUGAGAGUUUAUGACUUGAGAGUUGCAUUCUGGAUUCUAUAAUUCCUUAUUUCUUGUUGAUGUUCAAAUGCUUUUGAGCCUUCUAACAUAGACGACCUGAUCUGAGAGACCAGACCUUCUUCUUAACAUAGACGACCUGAGCUGAGAGACCAGACCUUCUUAACAUAGACCUGAGCUGAGAGUAAAGUAAGUCAUAUCCAAAUAUGGUUCUGGAAUGAUUUCCCGCCCUAUACUGGACCAUCGGAAAGAGGCACCCUAUACUAUUGACUAAUCACUCUUUUCGGUAACUAAGCAAUAAUGAAGAGUAAGCUCUAAGCUGUUUGGUUAUUCGCGGAGUGUUUAUUUCAUCUGUACCUAAGCUGCUUUCAUAUGUACCUUGUGUUGGUACCUAAGCAGUAAGAUGUGUUGUUACUAUACUUAGAAUAGAAGAUGGAUCCACACUACAUAUCUUAUUAAAGAAAGAAAGGCUGGACAAUAAGUAUCUUUAAGCAAUGCGGGCAAGGCAGGACAGACAAUAAGUAUCUUUAAGCAAUGCUAUUUGUUGACUCUUUAUUCUAUGUGCGUGUGUAACGCUCUCUCUUUUAUUCAAUGCUGUUUGUUUACUUCUUUUCUUUAGUUCUACUGGUUCGCUAUUAUACUUACUUCAGAAUCGAACUAGUGCUUAUGAGACUCGGCUUGGUGCUAAUAAGAAUGCCCUCCCUGCCUCUUCUUCUAAGACCCCUGAGCCGAGAUCCUUAACAGCUUGGGAGAAUAGUAGGUAUAUUGCCCUAUAACUAUCGAUCUUGCUUUACGGCAUCUUAGCCUGUCUUUGCUGUCUUUGAUUCUAGGACUGCUGCAUCUCGGAUCGACCCUUUCUCUUUUAAUAAGGAAUUGUAAACAGACAUAACUUCUAAUAACUCACAAGUAUUGUGAGUGGAGCUCCCGCCGAGUAUCAAUGGUGGAUGAGCUAUGAGUUUCAUUGAACAGAGGUCUGGAGACGAGAAGGAAACUUUCUGAAGCCUGAACCUUAAUGCUUGUUUGAACCUCACCUAUUACUGCUUACUCACUUUCGAAAGCUUCUUCUAAGGCUGCUGAUUCCUCUAAAUAACUGGCUGGUUACUUCUCUGGGCGCCAAUACGAGAUUCUCUGAGGAUUAUUAUCCGACUGCUCUUGCUGCUUCCUUUGCCACUUACUUGCGCACAGCUUAUGACACCGAUCGAGCUUAUUCCCGAUGCUCAACGAGACUUGUUCUUUUGCCGAACCUUACUAACGGAUCUUGUUCUUCUUGGGCCUGUCUUCGGUCAACAAAUAUGGAAUGGAAAAACGACUCUCCUGUUCGGCAAGCAUUAACCGCGCUGCGCUGAGAUACUUUAGGACAAGAAAAAUAAAUGGAAUCCUCUUUCGAGCUCCCUAACACCGAAAACAGCACUUGCUUAUUACUCUUAUCUGUAGUUAACACAACGUCUUGCUUAUUGCGCCUGCCCCUCUCCCAGAAAUGACUCUAAACUCCAAUGUAAUAGCUAAUGAUGCGCGCCCUAUCUUCUUCUUUCACUAGCGCCCAACGUCGAGCUCAGUUAGCGAGUUCUUUUUCAUAAAAUAAUGGAACUGGACAUUAGAUAGAAAAUAAGGUAACCAAAGAGAUAGCUAGCUUACAGGAUUUAACAACCAGACUGGAUACUCUACUCUAUUACUUUGACUUUGUCUGAGCUAUAGCGGCACCCGAUCCCGAUCCAACUAGUAACUACAUAGAGGCUCUUUCAACUCCCACUCAGGAUCCAGCGGACUUUCCUCUUACAACAAAAGCACCGAAACAAUUUGUUUAGUUUGAGCAAGAGUAGGAAAGUACUGUUUUCAGCUUCUGUUGAUUGAUUCUUGAGUUGACAACAUACAUAGAUUCCACUCGAACAGUCUAUUUUCCACGAUACUUUGCAUAGAGGUUAAAGGGAAAGACUAGGUCACAGAAUCAGCCGCUAUUGGAUUUCAUAGGGUAUAAUUUCCUUUCUUCUCAUCGAGGUUGCCUUUGUCUCUUCAAAGCUUCCAGGGAUGAUGCUUGAACUGGAUACUCUAAGGGUAGUUCCACCGUGUGUAAGAUGCGGUAGCGUUCUCUCUAAUAUGGAAUGAUAUAUUACUAUAGAGUGAUAUAGAAUGAUAUAUUACUAUAGAAUGAUGUAUUACUAGCUGUGAGAAUAGAAUAUCCGAUGCUGUUAGCUUUCCAGGUAGUGAUUCCCAUUAGUUAAUUGGGUCUUUCUUCUUGAAAAGACUGCUUCCAUAAGGUAGUUCAUGCAUUGAUGCAGAUAAGUUGGAAUAUUGUCAGUGUGCCACGAGUUACUCCUUUUGUGACUCUGUCUCUCCUCGUUAAUUCGUUUUGAGUUAAAUAACCCGGUAAAGUGCUGACCCGCCCCUGGCUCAAGGGAAAUCUCUUAUUGGAUUUAGGGAACGACUCCCAGCCAAGUGGUAUCACGAUUUAGCUGUUUUCGAAAGGAAUUGUCAUGGUGUUUCUUUGAUCCGAAGCAGUUCUUGCUCAAGUCGAACCAGCUUCUUAAGUGGCAAGAGCUUAUGCCUAAAAUAUCAAGUCAGAAGGUAAAGUAAAGAGAAAGCAGUCUACACGUGAAAGCUAGGCGAACUCCAGCCUUCUUUUUGAUUAUAUAUACCGUUCUAGCCACGGAAAGCAUUCAUUCCAAUUUAUUGAUGCUUUUUGUGUAACAGAUCCUGCUGUAACAGAUCCGGAAUCGCUUAUACCCGCUGAUUCUAGUAAUAGGAGAGAUUCUCCCGGGGAAGCGAAAGAGUAGUGAGGCUCACAACUUAUCCCUACUUACUUAUUUUCGUCUUUUUUCGCUCCUGACCCAAUCAAACUCGGAUCAGUUGGCAAGUCGAAUCCCACUCGUUUGUUUUGAGUUAUCGAAGGGAAAAAGAUGCAAUUCAUUCUGCCCGGUCAUUGGCGAUGAGAUAAAGGCUAUUGCACGGAAAGCGACUCUGGCAAGAGCGGAUUCCCUCACCUCACUUUUGGAACCAGAAAGUAGGCCUUACGAGGGCGCCCUAGCUAGAUGAACUCCCUGAUUUGAACGAGGAAUAAAGUAGGUCUUUUGACUUAAUAUUCCACUAAUAGCCGUCCAUUUUCAUCAUGCAACUUUCUAUCACAGGAGCUGAAAGCAUUCGUGAUUUGAUCUUCUUCUAUAAGAGAAUAUAAUAAGAUAAUCAAGUUAAUAUGUUUGUGAUGAAAUCGAUUCCUAUUCUUUUGUACCCUAUACAAACUCCCCGGCUUCCUUUCGAGCUGGGUCAUCCAAAUGCCAGUCUUUUCUUCGGUCAAAUGAACCUAAGCUAGCAAAAAGGCCUAACCGCACCACCAACUGAUGCGGAUGAAUUAGCUCUAUAAGCCUAGCACCCAUUCCUUCCAACUUAAGAACAGGCGCAUCUCAGAAGGAAUUUGAACUUGCUCCGGACUCUUAAAGCAGGGGAACUCGACAAGCACCCGAAGAAAACGAUACUUAUUUACUUAGCGACCUCGACUUGAACACCAUCUUUCUUGCUCCGAGUAUCUAAGGUAGGAUUUUUCAACAACAACCUUUCUGUUAGCCGAGUCAACAAAUACGGAAAAUACUAAAUGGAACUAACCCCUGCCUAUGAAUCAUGAACUGAGGAGCUCACUGACCCUAACAGUAAACUAACACGAGCAGCUCAUCUCUAAACUCAUGAAUUGCAAAAUCACUUUCUUUAUCGCCUAGCCUAGUAUUAUAAUAGGUUCUUUUUCACUUCCUUUCCUUCCCGUAAGCGCACAACAUCCUUCUGAGCUCAACUCAACUGGACCUCAGUCAACUAAUAAUUAUUUGAGUCUAUCGAGCUAAAGUAUAUAGGAAUAUUACCUUUAUGCAAGUAUAUAGGAAUAUAACCCUUACUAGACAAUACUGGCAUGGCACUGCUGAUUCCUAUGAUCCUGCUUGUCAUCUUUCUUCUUCUUCCUCCACUUCUACUAUCACUCUACUUUUUCAGGUCUUGCAGCUGACUUGCAAACAGGCAAUUCAUAAGCUUCAGAUCUAUCUUAUGGUCCUAAUUCCUCACCUGCUCCUUCGUCUGCUUCAACACAAUCACUAGUCACCUCUCUUGCGGACUUAGAUACAAUAACUUGAGCAGGAACUGGCUAUUCUGCAGCAGAUGAUAUUUCUCCCGAACCAGUGGAUUCUCUCUUUCAUCGACAAGAAAGGUCAACCGCCCCCAUUCCGGAGCAAGUCCAGAUGUAGUAUUGGCUAAUGGGAGUUCGUCGUUAGUUGUGAGUUUCUUUCUUGUGCAGCUAAUUAGAGUAGAGUGGAGUUCGCCUUCUUUUAAGUGAGUCAGGAGUAAGCGAUGCUCUAUUGUUACUAUAUUAUUUAUAUGUUAUAAGGCGGAUUGUUUUAUUGUUUCGUGCGCCUAUUCUAUUCGUGUUCGUCAAUUAUGAUAUUCGUCUUCUUAAAGUAAGCUAUGCCGUCUAUUCUGAAAAGUCUGCAAUAAUAGGUUAGAGUUUAGGGUCAAAAGUGGUUGCGUUAUAUAGCAUUACUAGGGAAAGAACGGAUUUCAACGUAGAAAUAACCAUCGACCAGUUCCCAACCUUAUAUUUGAUAAGGCGGAGGCACCCUUUUCUAGUUGAAUAGAAUUGAGACCUUCCUUGUUCCCUUACUUGCUCUUGCGCUAAGUAAAUGAUUGGAAUUCGUUUUUUCGAGCUGACUUAUCUUACUGACUCCCUUUCUGUUUGCAACUUACUAUUGAACAGCUUCUAAUCUCGCAGGAUUGACCUAAUUCUUUAUGAGACCCCCCCCAUCUGGAUACUUCAACUACACUUUCUUCACCACUAGUAUACUCUCAUGAUCCAGCUUUAACACCUGAUUUAGAGUACUUAUCGGUAUUGGCUAAAGAAUACUUCUUUAUCGUCGGCUUAACUCGAACAGAAACUUCAUUAGCAUUUCAGAAAGGAAUAGAUUCUUCCCUGAACUCGAAAGCGCCUGCGCCCGGAAACCUCAUUGAAGAAGCACCUCUCUCUUAUAGAAUAGAAGAACGACGUCAACAACAGAUUCAAUUCGACUUGAAAAGAAGCGCCAAAAGUCCAUCAUUCCAUUCUUUCUGCUCAAAAGCAAGUAUCAACAAGUGGAGAAAUACCAACAAACAAACAAGCAAUGGCAAACAAACAGACAAGUAAGUACCAGCAUUCAAAAAGGGAAAGUGGGAUUCAAACCAACAAGCAAAGAUGUGAGAUCACGAGAAGCAGACCAAGCAAGCACGCCCACUAGCUAUUCUUUACCUAAUAGAUUGAGUUCUUUAGUGAUACUACUUGAGAGCGCUGGCAGCCCAAGGUACAUCCUUAUCCUGUUACUGAUGAGUUGAGUUAUUGGCUGGGGUAUCCUUUGCACGGUAUCUUUGCUCGGCAGUUUCAUAUCCUCCCUUGACUUUGAGUCUGAACUCUCCUGGGGACCUUCAUCUAGCUUGUUGGAUCACACCUCGCUUCUUUAGGGGACCCCGCAAAGGUAGGAUAGAAUUCACUGAAGUAGUAGCAGAGUGAAGCAGCUAAGUAUCAUAAUUUCCAGUUAGAGUUUCAUCCUAGUCUCAGCGGGCUUGUCUAAAAGGGAGAAGACAUAUACGAGGACAGGACUUGGCGGAUAGCGAAGUCUACUUAGCCAGUACUACCUGUCUUCAACUCUCACUCGACAAACAAGAACAGGAUCAAUCAGGCCCAUACUCAAGAUCCCGUACAGGCUUUGAUGCGCUAAGUCCUGAAACAUACUCAAUUAGGACUCCAAAAAGCAAUGAGUUGAACUCAAUACAGACACCUGAGUUCCUUGGCGCUCCCUACCACUGUAGUUGCUUGGCCCUUUUCUUUGAUCGACCAGAAGCAACUAUGCUCAAAUUCCAUUCUUUUCUUUGAUCGACCGGAAGCAACUUCUCUUAUUCUAUAUGUUUGUUAUUGUCUGUCUUUGGAACAGCUGCUCAAAAAGAAAACAAGCGACUAGUGGAAUGAAACUAGAUCUGAUCUCCUCGGGCUCGGGAAAGCUGUUCACCAGAGCUUUGACUAUUACUACCGGGAAAGCUGUUCACUAGAGCUUUGACUAUUACUACGAGCUUUAGUUAGAACCUAUUAAUGCUACAAUCCAAAUCAAAUGUCAUGACCUACUUAUCCUUUUUCAAGACAUACGAGGCAUACAACGUUAACCCGGUUCGAGAACCUUCUCCCAUCGCAUC